rnacentral:rRNA from 1 species
AUUGAACGCUGGCGGCAUGCCUUACACAUGCAAGUCGAACGGUAACAGGCCGCCAGGUGCUGCCGAGUGGCGAACGGGUGCGUAAUGCAUCGGAACGUGCCCAGUCGUGGGGGAUAACUACUCGCAAGAGUAGCUAAUACCGCAUACGAUCUAUGGAUGAAAGCGGGGGACCGCAAGGCCUCGCGCGAUUUUAGCGGCCGCUGUCAGAUUAGGUAGUUGGUGGGGUAAAGGCUCACCAAGCCAACGAUCUGUAGCUGGUCUGAGAGGACGACCAGCCACACUGGGACUGAGACACGGCCCAGACUCCUACGGGAGGCAGCAGUGGGGAAUUUUGGACAAAGGGCGCAAGCCUGAUCCAGCAAUGCCGCGUGCAGGAAGAAGGCCUUCGGGUUGUAAAAUGCUUUUGUACGGAACGAAAAGGCUCUGGUUAAUACCCGGAGCUAAUGACGGUACCGUAAGAAUAAGCACCGGCUAACUACGUG